rnacentral:lncRNA from 1 species
CCUUUCCUUGCUUGUGGGCCUCCGCCGGUGUCUCAGUCCCUGCACACACUUAGCACGACCAGAUGAGUCGUCAACAUUAGUAUUUUCCAGUGAAGGAUAUCCUUCGACGCUUCAGGCGUCGGAGGUUCCUUGGGUGAAGGAUAACCUUCGACGCUACCAGGGGGAAGGAUGCAGCUGUUCCCCAACAUGAACCAAGAAAUGAAAUCAGGCCUCCCUGCUCCUGCACCUGCCGAAACAAGGGUGUCUUGUUCAUGCGAGGUAGGAUCCCUUGAUUGAUGCCAGAAUUCAAGAACAAAUUCCUUGAUGAAUGGCUCCACCUUGAUGAAACAAGGGUGUCUUGAUGAAUGUGGAGAUGUCUGGGUUUUGGACAUCUGGCGUCGCAACUUACUCGAAAACGAUUGAAUUUUUUACCAUAGCCUACACAUGUGUUAAUAUGAAACCUCGUAAAGUUUCGUGAUUUUUAGACCUCGUAUAGAUUUAAUAUAAUUUUAAAUCAAUUUUCUCAGAAGUGGCUAAUCAUGUCACACGUAAAAGAUGCGCGGAAUUUGAUUCCAGUUUGUGCGCAGGGACUCCACACACAUCAAAUAACAUGAAUAACAUUUUUUGAAAGACUACAGUUUAUUAUAUCAUGCACCUGCAGUUCAAAUUUAUAACAGCGGGAAAAUUACGACGAAUUAAAACAAAUUCAAGAAAUAUAUAUAAAAAAGUGAAAUUUGUGCCAAUUUUUAAAUUUGUGUUUAAAAUAAUGUGAUUUGUGCCCAAAAAAAAUUGGACUCAAAAAUCAAAAAAAAAAUUCUUUGCCGAGGGCUAAGCUUGGCCCUCGGCAAAGGGGGUC